AUUGUUUGUAGGUACAAGUACGGACUCAUUAUCCGUAACUCUAAAGUUCGAUUCUUUAAAACAAUC
rnacentral:tRNA from 1 species